rnacentral:rRNA from 1 species
CGGGAAGGCAGCAGUGGGGAAUAUUGGACAAUGGGCGCAAGCCUGAUCCAGCCAUACCGCGUGGGUGAAGAAGGCCUUCGGGUUGUAAAGCCCUUUUGUUGGGAAAGAAAUCCAGCUGGCUAAUACCCGGUUGGGAUGACGGUACCCAAAGAAUAAGCACCGGCUAACUUCGUGCCAGCAGCCGCGGUAAUACGAAGGGUGCAAGCGUUACUCGGAAUUACUGGGCGUAAAGCGUGCGUAGGUGGUCGUUUAAGUCCGUUGUGAAAGCCCUGGGCUCAACCUGGGAACUGCAGUGGAUACUGGGCGACUAGAAUGUGGUAGAGGGUAGCGGAAUUCCUGGUGUAGCAGUGAAAUGCGUAGAGAUCAGGAGGAACAUCCAUGGCGAAGGCAGCUACCUGGACCAACAUUGACACUGAGGCACGAAAGCGUGGGGAGCAAACAGGAUUAGAUACCCUGGUAGUCCACGCCCUAAACGAUGCGAACUGGAUGUUGGGUGCAAUUUGGCACGCAGUAUCGAAGCUAACGCGUUAAGUUCGCCGCCUGGGGAGUACGGUCGCAAGACUGAAACUCAAAGGAAUUGACGGGG